AACGAACGCUGGCGGCAUGCCUAAAACAUGCAAGUCGAACGAGACCUUCGGGUGAGUGGCAGACGGGUGAGUAACGCGUGGGAAUCUACCCAGUUCUGCGGAACAACAGUUGGAAACGACUGCUAAUACAGCAUAUGUCCUACGGGGGAAAGAUUUAUCAGAAUUGGAUGAGCCCGCGUUGGAUUAGCUAGUUGGUGAGGUAAUGGCUCACCAAGGCGACGAUCCAUAGCUGGUUUGAGAGGAUGAUCAGCCACACUGGGACUGAGACACGGCCCAGACUCCUACGGGAGGCAGCAGUGGGGAAUCUUGCGCAAUGGGCGAAAGCCUGACUCAGCCAUGCCGCGUGAAUGAUGAAGGUCUUAGGAUUGUAAAAUUCUUUCACCGGGGACGAUAAUGACGGUACCCGGAGAAGAAGCCCCGGCUAACUUCGUGCCAGCCGCCGCAGUAA
rnacentral:rRNA from 1 species